rnacentral:rRNA from 1 species
AAAUUCCGGGGCUUAACUCCGGGCGUGCAGGCGAUACGGGCAUAACUUGAGUGCUGUAGGGGAGACUGGAAUUCCUGGUGUAGCGGUGAAAUGCGCAGAUAUCAGGAGGAACACCGAUGGCGAAGGCAGGUCUCUGGGCAGUAACUGACGCUGAGGAGCGAAAGCAUGGGGAGCAAACAGGAUUAGAUACCCUGGUAGUCCAUGCCGUAAACGGUGGGCGCUAGGUGUAGGGGUCUUCCACGACUUCUGUGCCGUAGCUAACGCAUUAAGCGCCCCGCCUGGGGAGUACGGCCGCAAGGCUAAAACUCAAAGGAAUUGACGGGGGCCCGCACAAGCGGCGGAGCAUGUGGAUUAAUUCGAUGCAACGCGAAGAACCUUACCUGGGCUUGACAUGUACGGGAUCGGGCUAGAGAUAGUCUUUCCCUUGUGGCUCGUAUACAGGUGGUGCAUGGUUGUCGUCAGCUCGUGUCGUGAGAUGUUGGGUUAAGUCCCGCAACGAGCGCAACCCUUGUCUUGUGUUACCAGCGCGUUAUGGCGGGGACUCAUGAGAGACUGCCGGGGUCAACUCGGAGGAAGGUGGGGAUGACGUCAAAUCAUCAUGCCCCUUAUGUCCAGGGCUUCACACAUGCUACAAUGGUCGGUACAGUGGGUUGCGAUACCGUGAGGUGGAGCUAAUCCCUUAAAGCCGGUCUCAGUUCGGAUCGGGGUCUGCAACUCGACCCCGUGAAGUCGGAGUCGCUAGUAAUCGCAGAUCAGCAACGCUGCGGUGAAUACGUUCCCGGGCCUUGUACACACCGCCCGUCACGUCAUGAAAGUUGGUAACACCCGAAGCCAGUGGCCUAACCCC